rnacentral:rRNA from 1 species
GACGAACGCUGGCGGCGUGCUUAACACAUGCAAGUCGAACGGAAAGGCCCUGCUUGCCGGGUGCUCGAGUGGCGAACGGGUGAGUAACACGUGGGUGAUCUGCCCCUUACUUUGGGAUAAGCCUGGGAAACUGGGUCUAAUACUGGAUAGGACCAUGCUGUAGGUGGUGUGGUGGAAAGAUUAGUUUCGGUAAGGGAUGAGCUCGCGGCCUAUCAGCUUGUUGGUGGGGUAAUGGCCUACCAAGGCGUCGACGGGUAGCCGGCCUGAGAGGGUGGACGGCCACAUUGGGACUGAGAUACGGCCCAGACUCCUACGGGAGGCAGCAGUGGGGAAUAUUGCACAAUGGGCGCAAGCCUGAUGCAGCGACGCCGCGUGGGGGCUGACGGCCUUCGGGUUGUAAACUCCUUUCAGCCAUGACGAAGCCCUUGUGGUGACGGUAGUGGUAGAAGAAGCACCGGCUAACUACGUG